CUAAUGCUUCAAUAGCUAUACAAGAGUCGGAACAAUACAGAGAUUAGCAAGGCACUUGAACAAGGAUGGCCUGAGCAUUCACGAAGCAGUUCAGUAUCUGUAUUUUU